UUCAAACUCCAUCCUCCUUCUCUCUCUUUCUCCAGCUGUGGUCCCAGGACUUGCAGUGGGGGCGGGGCACCUCCUCUUCUCCUCCCCGGCCCCCUCUUUUGGGGUCUGGGCCCCCACUGUAUUCACUGUGGGUGAAGGCCACGCAGGGAGUCACGUGUCUCGGAUCCGUCCUAUCAAUGCCAAGGUUCCUCGGUGGGCUUUAUGGCUUCUUCAGCCACCACCGACUCCAAUUCCGCGUUCUGUUGCUGCAGCAUUCAUGAACCACAGACCUCACUCACCGGGAGUAGACGUAAGCUCCACCUCUGGAAGGGAAGAGCAUCCGAGAGUGUGUGGGCAAAGUAUGAAAGCAGCACAGAGAUCCUGACCAUUCCUGGUUCAUCUUCUGCCUAACUCAUGAAAAUGAAAACCACACAUGCAGCGGGGGACACGUGGCUCCCUCAGAAGUUCCUGCAAAAGCAACGGGCUAGCUGAUUUUCUCCAAUUCUCCAUCCCAGCGCGGGCUCCUGCAUUAGGAUUUGGCUUGGGGUUUAUUGCCUCAUGGUCACAACAUGGCUGCUGAGCUCCGGACAUCACCUUCUCCCACAACAGGCUGCUGUCAUCUCAAGGCAGAAGACUGCUUCCAAACUCACUCACCUGGCCGUGGGCAGGCCUCAGGGGCUCGCAGGCUGUUGGGGACAGACAUGAGUCCCCGCCCGAGGGCCUGUCCAUCCGGCAGCUUCCAAUAUGACAGCCAGGCCCCGCAAGACAGGGAGUGUGGCCAGGACAGAAGUCAGUCUUUUUGUAACCU